UGUCAUGGGGGUGGGGCGGGGUGGUGGUGGGGUGGAGGGGUGAAAAUCGUCAGUAACGAAAAUAAGGAUCGAGGGUAAUCAGUAUUGAAGGUUUCAUGAAGUCAACAAUUUCUAUUGUGACGGAUAUAGCACGUUCAUCGAAUGUUCAUAUACAAAGAAAAACUAUUAGUAAUGCUGAACAUUUUAUUCCAGAAAAAGAGAGAAUAAUUAUAGGCUACUAAAUUUUAAUAUUCCAGAGAAAGGUACGAAGACAAAAUUAAUACCCUGUGUUGCAACUGAACAGAACUAUUCCUCUUUGAAAUGCACACUGUGCCAUACAUAUUAUUGUGAAAAAAUGGGACUGGACAAAUCGAUGGAAGAUGUGUAGAUUUCCUAGGGAGCAAGGGUGUAGGUUGGGGGGAUGUGGGUGUCGGCUAAAACAUUUAUUUGUACAGUGCAGUAGGCCUACUUUAGGCUAUCCAUAUAGAUUGACAAGAAAACUGUAAACCAAAGUUUAAAAGGGUCCACUAGGUUUAUAAUCGACAUCUUCCCCGGUCCAGAACUCGUCACGCUCCUGGGAAGUCAGGAAUGAUUUCUUGUUACAGUGGUGAAGUUUCCACCUACGAGGAAGUAUUACAAACAUAAACAGCCAAACAGAAACAUGUUAUAACUGCCAGGAAUGAUGUCUUGUUACAGUUGUGAAGUUUCCGCUUACGAGGAAGUAUUACAAACAUAAACAGCCAAACAGAAACAUGUUAUAGCUGCCAGGAAUGAUGUCUUGUUACAGUUGUGAAUUUCCGCCUACGAGGAAGUACCCGGUAUUACAAACAUAAACAGCCAGCCAAAGAGAAACAUGUUAUAACUAUCACCACCCCCUCCUCACCCCCAAAAGAAUCUAAACAAAUCAACGUUUUCCGCUUAUGGAUAGGCACCUUAAAAUGUUAAAAAAAAAAAAAAAAAAAAAAAAAAAAAAAUUAUAUAUAUAUAUAUAUAUAUAUAUAUAUAUAUAUAUAUAUAUAUAUAUAUUUCUACUGCUACUAUUUAUUGUUGUCAUUAUUAUUAGGCCUAUUAUUAUUAUUAUUAUUAUUAUUAUUAUUAUUAUUUAUUUUUUUGGUAAAGUCAUUGUGUGAUUAUUGCCAUUAUAUUAAAAAAUAUAUAAUUAAAAAAAAAAAAAA